UCGUGACCUGACCAAAACAGACCGCGCACGCGUCAUCUAGCCUGCCGGCGGCGGCACCGUCCGUCGCUUGGCCAAAGUCCUCGAUAACCUCCUCUCCUCGGAGCGGGGGCUCGGGGUAAAAGAACCCACGGCGCCAAAGGCGUCAAGGAACACUGUGCCUAACCCGGGGACGCGGUUGGCUUGCUAGUCGCCCCCCGUGUUGCAAUGCUAUUUAAUCCACACGACUCUCGGCAACGGAUAUCUCGGCUCUCGCAUCGAUGAAGAACGUAGCGAAAUGCGAUACCUGGUGUGAAUUGCAGAAUCCCGCGAACCAUCGAGUCUUUGAACGCAAGUUGCGCCCGAGGCCACCUGGCCGAGGGCACGCCUGCCUGGGCGUCACGCCAAAUACGCUCCCACACCCUCAUCGGGYAGUGGGAUGCGGCAUUUGGCCCCCCGUAACGCAAGUGGCGGUGGGCCGAAGAUGCGGCUGCCGGCGUAUCGUGCCGGACACAGCGCGUGGUGGGCGACCUCGCUUUACUUACCGCAGUGCAUCCGGCCCGUAGCCGACGUGAUGGCCUUGAYAGACCCUAUAAACGAAGCGCAUGACGCUUCGACC
rnacentral:misc_RNA from 1 species